AGACAUCUCUCCUAAAGACAUCUCUCCUAGACAUCUCUCCAAAGACAUCUCUCCUAGACAACUCUCCUAGACAUCUCCCCUAAAGACAUCUUUACAAAAGACAUCUCUCCUCAAGACAUCUCUCCUCAAGACAUCUCUCCUAGACACAUCUCUUCUAGACACAUCUCUCCUAGAGACAUCUCUCCUAGACAUCUCUCCUAGAGACAUCUCUUCUAGACAUCUCUCCUAAAGACAUCUCUCCUAGAGACAUCUCUCCUAGACAUCUCUCCUAGAGACAUCUCUCCUAAAGACAUCUCUCCUAAAGACAGCUCUCCUAGAGACAUCUCUCCUAGACAUCUCUCCUAGAGACAUCUCUCCUAAAGACAUCUCUCCUAGAGACAUCUCUCCUAAAGACAUCUCUCCUAAAGACAGCUCUCCUAGAGACAUCUCUCCUAGACAUCUCUCCUAGACAUCUCUCCUAAAGACAUCUCUCCUAGACAUCUCUCCUAGACAUCUCUCCUAAAUACAUCUCUCCUAGAGACAUCUCUCCUAGACAUCUCUCCUAGACAUCUCUCCUAAAGACAUCUCUCCUAAAGACAUCUCUCCUAGACAUCUCUCCUAAAGACAUCUCUCCUAAAGACAUCUCUCCCAAAGACAUCUCUCCUAGAGACAUCUCUCCUAGAGACAUCUCUCCUAAAGACAUCUCUCCUAAAGACAUCUCUCCUAGAGACAUCUCUCCUAAAGACAUCUCUCCUAGAGACAUCUCUCCUAAAGACAUCUCUCCUAGAGACAUCUCUCCUAAAGACAUAUCUCCUAGAUACCUCUCCUAGAGACAUCUCUCCUAAAGACAUCUCUCCUAGACAUCUCUCCUAAAGACAACUCUCCUAAAGACAUCUCUCCUAAAGACAUAUCUCCUAGAUACCUCUCCUAGAGACAUCUCUCCUAAAGACAUCUCUCCUAGACAUCUCUCCUAAAGACAACUCUCCUAAAGACAUAUCUCCUAGCCAUCUCUCCUAAAGACAUCUCUCCUAGACAACUCUCCUAAAGACAUCUCUCCUAAAGACAUAUCUCCUAGACAUAUCUCUUGAAGACAUCUCUCCUAGACAUCUCUCCUAAAGACAUCUCUCCAAGACAUAUCUCCUAGCCAUCUCUCCUAAAGACAUCUCUCCUAGACAACUCUCCUAAAGACAGGUCUUAUAGCCCCGUUGUAUUGACGCUGGGCUGACGCGUGUUCUAUACCAUCUUAAUGUACAGGUAACAGGGCUAAUUCAGUGAACAGUCAUUAUUGUAUUUAUUCAUGUCUACUCUAUAUGUUGGCCGUAGUGUGAUAAGGACAGCGCUACUCAGAAGGGCCGGACUAACAAAUGACACAUUAACAUCAAAUAAAUAACAUAAAUGUAUUGUUUUAUUUAAGGCCUUCUCCGCUACUUUGUUCACAGUGAAUAAUAUGAUACUCUACCUGUUAUGAUGAAUACAUAAGGGUUAAAAAGAUAGCUGAACGGAGAUGAACACUGUAGCCCGUUUGCAGUCAGAAGAUAACUGAACAGAGAUGAACACUGUAGCCAGUUUGCAGUCAGAAGAUAGCUGAACGGAGAUGAACACUGUAGCCAGUUUGCAGUCAGAAGAUAACUGAACGGAGAUGAACACUGUAGCCAGUUUGCAGUCAGAAGAUAACUGAACGGAGAUGAACACUGUAGCCAGUUUGCAGUCAGAAGAUAACUGAACGGAGAUGAACACUGUAGCCAGUUUGCAGUCAGAAGAUAACUGAACGGAGAUGAACACUGUAGCCAGUUUGCAGUCAGAAGAUAGCUGAACGGAGAUGAACACUGUAGCCCGUUUGCAGUCAGAAGAUAACUGAACGGAGAUGAACACUGUAGCCCGUUUGCAGUCAGAAGAUAGCUGAACGGAGAUGAACACUGUAGCCAGUUUGCAGUCAGAAGAUAGCUGAACGGAGAUGAACACUGUAGCCCGUUUGCAGUCAGAAGAUAGCUGAACGGAGAUGAACACUGUAGCCCGUUUGCAGUCAGAAGAUAGCUGAACGGAGAUGAACACUGUAGCCCGUUUGCAGUCAGAAGAUAGCUGAACGGAGAUGAACACUGUAGCCAGUUUGCAGUCAGAAGAUAACUGAACGGAGAUGAACACUGUAGCCAGUUUGCAGUCAGAAGAUAACUGAACGGAGAUGAACACUGU
ensembl:lncRNA